ACCAUGCAGUCGACGGUAACAGGAAGCAGCUUGCUGCUUUGCUGACGAGUGGCGGACGGGUGAGUAAUGUCUGGGAAACUGCCUGAUGGAGGGGGAUAACUACUGGAAACGGUAGCUAAUACCGCAUAACGUCGCAAGACCAAAGAGGGGGACCUUCGGGCCUCUUGCCAUCGGAUGUGCCCAGAUGGGAUUAGCUAGUAGGUGGGGUAACGGCUCACCUAGGCGACGAUCCCUAGCUGGUCUGAGAGGAUGACCAGCCACACUGGAACUGAGACACGGUCCAGACUCCUACGGGAGGCAGCAGUGGGGAAUAUUGCACAAUGGGCGCAAGCCUGAUGCAGCCAUGCCGCGUGUAUGAAGAAGGCCUUCGGGUUGUAAAGUACUUUCAGCGGGGAGGAAGGUGUUGUGGUUAAUAACCACAGCAAUUGACGUUACCCGCAGAAGAAGCACCGGCUAACUCCGUGCCAGCAGCCGCGGUAAUACGGAGGGUGCAAGCGUUAAUCGGAAUUACUGGGCGUAAAGCGCACGCAGGCGGUCUGUCAAGUCGGAUGUGAAAUCCCCGGGCUCAACCUGGGAACUGCAUUCGAAACUGGCAGGCUAGAGUCUUGUAGAGGGGGGUAGAAUUCCAGGUGUAGCGGUGAAAUGCGUAGAGAUCUGGAGGAAUACCGGUGGCGAAGGCGGCCCCCUGGACAAAGACUGACGCUCAGGUGCGAAAGCGUGGGGAGCAAACAGGAUUAG
rnacentral:rRNA from 1 species